rnacentral:tRNA from 1 species
GUGUGGCUCGGUUGGCAGAGUGCUUGCCUAGCAUGCACGAGGUCCUGGGUUCCAUUCCCAGCAC